GGGAGAUGAUGAUACAGUAUUUUUUGUAGAGAAUUUAGUGAUGGUAUUAGCAAAAUACGAUCAUAAUCAGAUGUAUUAUAUCGGAGGCAAUUCGGAGAGUGUUGAACAAGACGUGAUACACUCGUAUACUAUGGCUUAUGGGGGUGGUGGGUUUGCUAUUAGUUAUCCUUUAGCAAAAGAGCUCGUCAGGGUUUUGGAUGGCUGCAUUGAUCGAUACACAUCGUUUUACGGCUCUGAUCAGAGGGUCCAGGCCUGCAUGAGCGAGAUUGGAAUUCCUCUCACAAAGGAGCUUGGUUUCCACCAGGUUGAUAUAAGAGGAAACCCAUAUGGUUUACUAGCCUCACACCCGCUGGCGCCAUUGGUCUCUCUCCACCACCUUGACUAUGUACAGUCGAUAUUUCCAGGGAUGACCCGGAUUGACUCGCUCAAGAAGCUCAUUGUACCUUACGGAAUGGAUCCGGGUCGGACUCUACAACACAGUUUCUGUUACGAUUUGAACCGUAAUUGGUCGGUAUCAAUUUCUUGGGGCUACACCAUACAACUGUAUCCGUACUUGAGGACGGCGAAGCAACUGGAGACUGCUUUUCGAACGUUUCAAACAUGGCGGAGUUGGAGCCAUGAACCCUUCACGUUCAACACCCAACCCAUAAGUCAUGACCCGUGUGAGAGACCGGUUGUAUAUUUUUUAGAUCGGGUUGAGAGUGUUGGACGGGGUCAGACCUUGACCACUUAUAAAAGACACGUGGAAGAAGGAAAUGAAAGUUGUGACCGACAGGACUAUGCUCUUGUUCAGGCCGUCCGGUUUGUCAAUGUGACAAGUUCCACAUUGAAGCCCGACAUUUGGAACAUGGCACCGCGUAGACAGUGCUGCGAGAUAGUCAACAGAGAAAAGAAGGUGGUAGAGGUCAUGAUUAGAGGCUGCAAACAAUUUGAAAGCGUCACUCCUCCAUAGAUUAUGGCGCACAAAUUUUAACUAAAAUCUUCCCACCCAGGCUGUUCUUUCCAACUCUGCUUCAGUUUUUAGAUGUCAAUUCGCCAACUACUGCGUCCUACUUACCCCACUGGCGACUGAUUA
rnacentral:misc_RNA from 1 species